UGGGUUACAGCGAUGCCCCCCUGUGUGAGGUGGGUCUGGGUCACAUCCAACUGACCAAAGGCCUUAGAGCAAAGACUGAGGCUUCCCAAGGAAGGAAUUCUGCCUUAAGACUGCAUCAGAGAAACCCUUCCUGAGUUUCCAGACUGCUGGCCUGCCCUAUGGAUUUCAGACUCAAGACUGCAACAUCAACUCCUACAUGAAUUUCUAGUCUGCCAGCCAGCCCUCUAACCUUCAUAUUUGCCACCCACAGUUAUGAGUCUAUUCCUUAAAAUAAAUCUCUCUCUUGACAUAUAACAAUAUCCAAUUGGUCUGUUUCCUUAGAAAACCCUAAAUAAUACAGAUGCUUAAUAAAUACUUAUAUUUAUUUGUUAAAUACAUACUUGUGGUCACAUAGGUAUUUGAUAAGUGCUUGCUGUUUACUUG
rnacentral:lncRNA from 1 species